rnacentral:rRNA from 1 species
AGAGACAGCAGUCGCCACGGGAAUACGUAGGUGGCAAGCGUUGUCCGGAAUUAUUGGGCGUAAAGGGAGCGCAGGCGGUUUAGUAAGUCUGAAGUUAAAGGCAUUGGCUCAACCAAUGUAUGCUUUGGAAACUGUUAGACUUGAGUGCAGAAGGGGAGAGUGGAAUUCCAUGUGUAGCGGUGAAAUGCGUAGAUAUAUGGAGGAACACCGGUGGCGAAAGCGGCUCUCUGGUCUGUCACUGACGCUGAGGCUCGAAAGCGUGGGUAGCGAACAGGAUUAGAUACCCCCGUAGUCCCUGUCUCUUAUACA